UACGAGGGGGGCGAGCGUUGUUCGGAAUUAUUGGGCGUAAAGGGUGCGUAGGCGGUUUGGUAAGUCUUAUGUGAAAUCUAUGGGCUCAACUCAUAGACUGCAUGAGAAACUGCCGGGCUUGAGUAUGGGAGAGGUGAGUGGAAUUCCUGGUGUAGCGGCGAAAUGCGUAGAUAUCAGGAGGAACACCUGUGGCGAAAGCGGCUCACUGGACCAUAACUGACGCUGAUGCACGAAAGCUAGGGGAGCAAACAGG
rnacentral:rRNA from 1 species